rnacentral:rRNA from 1 species
UACGAAGGGGGCUAGCGUUGUUCGGAAUUACUGGGCGUAAAGCGCACGUAGGCGGGUCGUUAAGUCAGGGGUGAAAUCCCGGAGCUCAACUCCGGAACUGCCUUUGAUACUGGCGAUCUAGAGAUCGAGAGAGGUGAGUGGAAUUCCGAGUGUAGAGGUGAAAUUCGUAGAUAUUCGCAAGAACACCAGUGGCGAAGGCGGCUCACUGGCCCGGUACUGACGCUGAGGUGCGAAAGCAUGGGGAGCGAACAGG